rnacentral:rRNA from 1 species
UACGAAGGGGGGCUAGCGUUGCUCGGAAUCACUGGGCGUAAAGCGCACGUAGGCGGCUUUCUAAGUCAGGGGUGAAAUCCUGGAGCUCAACUCCAGAACUGCCUUUGAUACUGGAGAGCUUGAGUCCGGAAGAGGUGAGUGGAACUCCGAGUGUAGAGGUGAAAUUCGUAGAUAUUCGGAAGAACACCAGUGGCGAAGGCGGCUCACUGGUCCGGUACUGACGCUGAGGUGCGAAAGCGUGGGGAGCAAACAGGG